UACAGAGGUCCCGAGCGUUGUUCGGAUUCACUGGGCGUAAAGGGUGCGUAGGUGGUGAGGUAAGUCGGAUGUGAAAUCUCCAGGCUCAACCUGGAAACUGCAUUGGAAACUACCUUGCUGGAGGAUUUGAGGGGGAUUGGAAUACUUGGUGUAGCAGUGAAAUGCGUAGAUAUCAAGUGGAACACCUGCGGCGAAGGCGGGUUGCUGGGCCGACACUGACGCUGAUGCGCGAAAGCCAGGGAGGCGAACGGG
rnacentral:rRNA from 1 species